GACGAACGCUGGCGGCGUGCUUAACACAUGCAAGUCGAACGGAGUGGCGAACGGGUGAGUAACAUGUGGGUGAACUGCCUUGCACUUCGGGUUAAGCUUGGGAAACUGGGCCUAAUACCGGAUAGUGCCAGAUGAGCGCGGGGCCUAUCAGCUUGUUCGUGGGGUAAUGGCCUACCGAGGCGGCGACGGGUAGCCGGCCUGGGAGGGUGUACGGCGACAAUGGGACUGAGAUACGGCGCAGAGUGCUACAGUGGGCAGCGGUGGGGAGCAUUGCGCAGUGGGCGGGAGUGUGAUGCAGCGGCGCCGCGGUUGUGAUGAAGGUUUUCGGGUUGGAAAGUCCUUGCGACAGAUACGCGGUACCUGUAUAAGAAGCACCGGCUAACUACGUGCCAGCAGCCGCGGUAAUUC
rnacentral:rRNA from 1 species